rnacentral:rRNA from 1 species
AUUGAACGCUGGCGGCAGGCUUAACACAUGCAAGUCGAGCGAUCGGCGGACGGGUGUGUCAUUUCUGGGAACCUGCCUGAUGGAGGGGGAUAACUACUGGAAACGGUACCUAAUACCGCAUACCAUCAGAUGUGCCCAGAUGGGCUUAGCUUGUAGUGGGGGUAAGGGCUCACCUAGGCGACGAUCCCUAGCUGGUCUGAGAGGAUGACCGGCCACACUGGAACUGAGACACGGUCCAGACUCCUACGGGAGGAAGCAGUGGGGAAUAUUGGACAAUGGGCGCAAGCCUGAUGCAGCAAUGCCGCGGGUGUGAAGAAGGCCUUCGGGUGGUAAAGCACUUUGAGCGAGGAGGCGGUACUCGAAGAAGAAGCAACGGCUAACUACGUGCCAGCAGCCGCGGUAAUUC